GACGAACGCUGGCGGCGUGCUUAACACAUGCAAGUCGAACGGAAAGGCCCUGCUUUUGUGGGGUGCUCGAGUGGCGAACGGGUGAGUAACACGUGAGUAACCUGCCCCUGACUUUGGGAUAACUUCAGGAAACUGGGGCUAAUACCGGAUAGGAGCUCCUGCUGCACGGUGGGGGUUGGAAAGUUUUGGCGGUUGGGGAUGGACUCGCGGCUUAUCAGCUUGUUGGUGAGGUAGUGGCUUACCAAGUCUUUGACGGGUAGCCGGCCUGGGAGGGUGACCGGCCACAUUGGGACUGCGAUACGGCCCAGACUCCUACGGGAGGCAGCAGUGGGGAAUAUUGCGCAAUGGGCGGAAGCCUGAUGCAGCAACGCCGCGUGCGGGAUGACGGCCUUCGGGUUGUAAACCGCUUUCGCCUGUGACGAAGCGUGAGUGACGGUAAUGGGUAAAGAAGCAACGGCUAACUACGUG
rnacentral:rRNA from 1 species